AGCGAACGCUAGCGGCGGGCUUAACACAUGCAAGUCGAGCGGACUUUUUCGGAAGUCAGCGGCGAACGGGUGAGUAACACGUAGGUAACGUACCCUCUGGUGGGGAAUAACUCAGGGAAACUUGAGCUAAUACCGCAUGUGCCCUUCGGGGUGAAAGACUUCGGUUGCCAGAGGAUCGGCCUGCGGCCCAUUAUUUAAUCCUAGUUGGUAGGGUAACGGCCUACCAAGGGUACGAUGGGUAGCUGGUCUGAGAGGAUGAUCAGCCACACUGGGACUGAGACACGGCCCAGACUCCUACGGGAGGCAGCAGUGGGGAAUAUUGGACAAUGGGCGAAAGCCUGAUCCAGCCACGCCGCGUGAGUGAUGAAGGCC
rnacentral:rRNA from 1 species